rnacentral:rRNA from 1 species
UACGCAGGCGGCUUGGUAAGACAGGUGUGAAAUCCCCGGGCUUAACCUGGGAACUGCAUUUGUGACUGCCUGGCUAGAGUCUGUCAGAGGGGGGUGGAAUUCCACGUGUAGCAGUGAAAUGCGUAGAGAUGUGGAGGAACACCGAUGGCGAAGGCAGCCCCCUGGGAUAAGACUGACGCUCAUGUACGAAAGCGUGGGGAGCAAACAGGAUUAGAUACCCUGGUAGUCCACGCCCUAAACGAUGUCGACUAGUUGUCGGGGAUUAACUUCCUCGGUAACGCAGCUAACGCGUGAAGUCGACCGCCUGGGGAGUACGGUCGCAAGAUUAAA